rnacentral:rRNA from 1 species
GACGAACGCUGGCGGCGUGCUUAACACAUGCAAGUCGCACGAAGUGGCGAACGGGUGAGUAACGCGUAAUCAACCUGCCCUUCAGCGGGGGACAACAGUUGGAAACGACUGCUAAUACCGCAUACUUCCGGAGGGGCUUGCGUAUGAUUAGCUAGUUGGAGGGGGAACGGCCCCCCAAGGCGAUGAUAAGUAGCCGGUGUGAGAGGAUGAACGGCCAAAGUGGGACUGAGACACGGCCCAGACUCCUACGGGAGGCAGCAGUGGGGAAUCUUCCACAAUGGACGAAAGUCUGACGGAGCAACGCCGCGUGAGUGAUGACGGCCUUCGGGUUGUAAAGCUCUGUUAAUCGGGACGCGGUACCGGAAUAGAAAGCCACGGCUAACUACGUGCCAGCCGCCGCGGUAAUUC